rnacentral:rRNA from 1 species
GAUGAACGCUGGCGGCGUGCCUAAUACAUGCAAGUCGAGCGAACGGACGAGAAGCUUGCUUCUCUGAUGUUAGCGGCGGACGGGUGAGUAACACGUGGAUAACCUACCUAUAAGACUGGGAUAACUUCGGGAAACCGGAGCUAAUACCGGAUAAUAUUUUGAACCGCAUGGUUCAAAAGUGAAAGACGGUCUUUCUGUCGCUUAUAGAUGGAUCCGCGCUGCAUUAGCUAGUUGGUAAGGUAACGGCUUAACAAGGCAACGAUGCAUAGCCGACCUGAGAGGGUGGUCGGACACACGGGAUGUGAGACACGGUCCAGACUCCGACGGGAGGCAGCAGUAGGGAAUCUUACGCAAGGGGCGAAAGCCUGACGGAGCAACGCCGCGUGAGUGAUGAAGGUCUUCGGAUCGUAAAACUCUGUUAUUAGGGAAGAACAUAUGUGUAAGUAACUGUGAAGAUCAUGACGGUACCUGAUCAGAAAGCCACGGCUAACUACGUG